rnacentral:rRNA from 1 species
UACGAAGGGGGCGAGCGUUGUUCGGAUUUACUGGGCGUAAAGGGCGCGCAGGCGGCUCAUUUUGUCAGGCGUGAAAGCCCCGGGCUUAACCUGGGAACUGCGUUUGAUACGGAUGGGCUAGAGUUCGGGAGAGGAGAGUGGAAUUCCCAGUGUAGAGGUGAAAUGCGCAGAUAUCAGGAGGAACACCGGUGGCGAAGGCGGGUCUCUGGGCCGUUACUGACGCUGAGGAGCGAAAGCGUGGGGAGCGAACAGG